GGGAGGGGGAGGCUUUAGGCAGAGAUCUCACCUGGAAAAGGAAGGAUCAGAGCAGGAGAUGCUCUGGAGUUGUGGUCCAGGCUCAGCCUGAGGCUGGAGGAAUCCCCAGUCCCUGGGAGUAAAGAGAAUUUUGGACCUUUCUGCCUGGUGGCUGAGCCAAACAUUUGGGUACUUUCUGACCUGAGUGCACCCAUGCAUUUUUUGCUACCUGGAUUUCAGGAAUGAGCCGUGCCUGAGGAGGGAGAGAUUCCUCCCUUCACAGGAUGUUCAGAAACGCUCUCAUCUUUAGGUUUAGUGCAGAAAGAAUUGGGUUCUGGAGCUGGAAUUCCUGCUGACCCCCACUACUUGCACAUAGAACCCGCGUCGCACAGAUAUUCUCCAUGGGUUGGCAUAGCACUCAUGUUUGCAGUGCAGAACCCUCCUUCCCCACCUAGUGCCCUUUGGCCAUGGACCAGCUCAUCAGGUUGGCUUCGUCCUUUCCUGGAUUAAAGGAACUGUUCCUCAGGGAUGAGUCAGCCUGGCCUGAUCCUUGCUGCAGGUUGAGGACUCACAUUAUGCAAUUAGUUCUGCAUUUCCCCAAAACUGAUGCAAAUGAGGGGGAAUCGCUCCAAACUGCAGCUUUUUGCAACCUUUAGGCACAAAGUUUGCAUUGCCUCCGGCAGGAUGGAAAUGGACAAACGAUGGGUGAUGGGCAUCAUUUGGAACCCAGCACUAAGCACAGCUCUGAGCAGAUGCACAACACUCCAACCCCUGGACCCCCCCUGCACAACUGCAACACCCACACACUGACCUAGGAUGGAUCCUUAAAAAAGGAUCCCUGCCAGAUUUCUUGAAAUGAGCUAUUUUGUACAACAGAAAUUAAAUCAACGCUGUUAUCAUUCUUGGGCAGCAGCCCCUUGAGGAAAGCAGGGAGGCAGAAGGGUGAAGCAUUUCCCAUUCAAAGAUACUUCUUUACUUCUGGGGUCAAGGAGAGGGAAUUGGGUGCUCCUGAGGAACAGGGUAUGAGCAUCCAGCACCAAUGUUGGUGACGAGGGGUGUGGGUGCCAAAGCAGCAGUCACACCAAUGACUGAUGUCAUUGCAUGCUCUUGGAAUAACUUGAAAGAAAGUCAUCGGAGAGGGGUGGGACGCUUCGGGGACAGUGAGCCUCUGGUGUUUGUCAAUCCUUCAAGGAAACGAGGACAGGGAAGCCACAGCUGUCACGCUUGGUAAUUAAAGGGAAAGUUGUACCUUGGACAGAUGGGGAUUUGCGAUGCUGAGCAGCACGGUGACUGUGUUUGCAAAAGUGCCUGGGGGAAAAACAGUGGCUGCUCUCUGUAGGAAGCUGAGGAGCUGGGAGGACAGGUGUGCAAUUACUGGGAUGUCCAAGGCACCAAGCUGGCUUCUGGUCAUUGUCAUUUCCCCAUGCAAGCCAUUCCUGGAUGGAGAACAAGAGAGCCAGGUGCUGAGCACUGCCUGGUGUCACACGCAGGUGGUUACCCCAUAGGGAUUUCAGUGAGAAUAAGCAACCACAUAAUAACAAGAACAAAGAGAAUAAUGAGGCAACACUGAUGCGUGGAGCAAGAAAGAACGCUGGAAUUCCCCAAACAAACCUUCGCCAGCGUGCAGGCAGUCCAGCUAUUAAACCAAACCUUGGGUUUCUGAGACCUUGCUCAUCCUUCUGAAAGCAGCAGGUUUCCCUUAACGUGCUUCCCUGUGUCCUCCAACACAGGAUGGCCAGGGAAUCCUGUGCAACCUGUGGUUCACAGCCAGACUUUCUCUUUUCUGUGUUUCUGUGCCAUUCCCAGCUUGUUGUUUUUUUUUUUUCCUCCCAUUUACUGAGUGCUGGGUUUCACUGCAGCGCAGUUCCCAAUCCAAGGCAGUGGUUGAGGAGAGGUGCCCAGCUGGAUUUCAAGCCCACCAUGGACACGUGAAAGAAACAACUUCCUAAAGCAGGAGAUGGAGAUCAGAAAGCUCAGGAAUCCACCGCAGAAACACACUGCAAUAAAUAGAAGCAUGACUUUGCAUCUGAUCUGGUUCCCCGGAGGAUGUGGCUAAGCCAGUGGGGAGCUCAGCUCCAGGAGGAAGCAGCUAUAAUCAUCACGGUUGCUUGGCUUUAUCUCCCUGGCUGUGUGGUUUGCUGGCAACUCAGAGAGCCCAUGUCUGGGGAUGGAGGCUAUGAGCCUGUGAGCUGCUCAAAAGGGAGAUACAGGCUGCAGUGCCCCCCAGGGCAGAUCCAGGCACGUCUGGGUGCUGAGCAUUGGGCUGCAAGGAAUGGAAGCUGGCUGCAACUUCCUCCAGGACAAAUGCUUCUCUUUAUCACAGUCAGCCCAGAGAGGACAACCAUUACACAGAGCUUACGCACCCAGCCACUGCCUCUGCCAUGAUACACUGUCAUUUUUUUUGCGUGCUGGUGGCAAAAUGAGCCACAAAAAAUGACUCUAACCAUUCAUUAAGAUAAUAGGUACAUAUUCUGCAAGCUCUCCCUUCUGUAAUCUCUUUAAUCUGAGUGUCCAUCUGGAAGGCUUUAUGAAUUGCUGGGUGCUUACCAGCACAGCAUUGUUGUUUCUCCUGGUUCCCAUUUGUUGUUUUUGUUUGGCUUUGACCAAGAGCCCCACCUCUGCUCCUGAAUCUGCCUCAGUCACUUCCAUUGACUAUGCAUGGGGCCUGUGCCUCCAGCUUCAGCUCGGUGGUGGAGGAAACCUGCACAGGAAGAGUGUUUAUUCUCUCAUUAUCCUACUUGCCAAGACAUUUAGGCCUUUAAUGAGGUUUGCUCUCUAACGUUUCCCCAUGUCCCCCUCCGAAGAGCAAUGUUUCCAUGUCCCCCUCUAUAGAGUCAUGUCUCAGCUCCACAAGCAUGCAGAGGUUGCAUUGCUGAUAAA